AUGCAGCUGAUGAGUCCCAAAUAGUACGAAAUGCGCGUCAAACUGGAU
rnacentral:hammerhead_ribozyme from 1 species